GUCUGCAUUUGAUGGAGAUACAGAAAUGCAGAGUGAAUGUACAAUAUGUACAAGAAUCAAGUGUUAAUAAAAAGAAGCCAUAAUCAAAUACUCGAGAGCCAACAGAAAUGGCAGCUACACUGUUCCCUUUCAGAUCAGAUGAAUAUCCACAGUCCAAAAGACUAACUACGCCCAGUACACUCUCCUCAGGGCCUUUUAUGGUUCAAUGUGAACAUCUCGUAAUCUCAGGCCUGAAGUGCCCUGACCUUGUAAAGGCCUUGAGGGGCAUGAAUAUGAUUAUUUUCCAAGGUCGGAGGAGUCCAAACCAGCGGGCAUAGAUUUAAGGAUGAAGGUGUCCCAGGCUAGUCAAGCAUCUAUUACCCAUCCCUAAUUGCCCAGAGGGCAGUUAGCUGUCAACCACAUUGCUGUGAGUCUG